AAAAAUUUCGACUAAAACUUCUAAUUUGCAGCUAAUACAAAAUGGAUUGAUUUCGUUUUGCUGCAAAUUAGAAGUCUUAGUGACAAAAAUCAUUUACAUUACUGGUAAGUGGCGAGGAGAAAAAGUCAACUCGCUCACUAGGAUGCCCAGACUGUUCCCUAACUCAAACUUUAAUCCUUGCUAAGUACCUCAACUUAUUGAAUCAAUGUGCCAAACUGUCAGCAUUAUUGUCUGCGUAGUAUUAUUGGGGUAAUGUAUUUAAGAGUUUCAAUAAUCAGGAUACAAUUUGUGUUGCAACAUGAGAUGUAUAAUAGAUCGAUACAUUAGCCUUUUGAGAAAUGCUA